CGGCAACAGCUCAAAUUUGAAAUCUGGCGCAAGCCCGAGUUGUAAUUUGUAGAAGUGUUUUCCGUGCUGGACCAUGUCCAAGUCCCUUGGAACAGGGUAUCAAAGAGGGUGACAAUCCCGUACUUGACAUGACCACCAGUGCUCUGUGAUACACUUUCUAC
rnacentral:rRNA from 1 species